rnacentral:rRNA from 1 species
AUUGAACGCUGGCGGCAUGCUUUACACAUGCAAGUCGAACGGCAGCGGGGAGGAGCUUGCUUCUCUGCCGGCGAGUGGCGAACGGGUGAGUAAUACAUCGGAACGUGUCGAGAAGAGGGGGAUAACCACCCGAAAGGGUGGCUAAUACCGCAUAAAUUCUGAGGAAGAAAGCUGGGGACCUAGGAAUAGGCCUAGCGCUUUUUGAGCGGCCGAUGUCGGAUUAGCUAGUUGGUGAGGUAAAGGCUCACCAAGGCGAAGAUCUGUAGCGGGUCUGAGAGGAUGAUCCGCCACACUGGGACUGAGACACGGCCCAGACUACUACGGGAGGCAGCAGUGGGGAAUUUUGGACAAUGGGGGCAACCCUGAUCCAGCCAUGCCGCGUGUAUGAAGAAGGCCUUAGGGUUGUAAAGUACUUUUGUUAGGGAAGAAAAGUCAGCUGUGAAUAAUGGCUGAUACUGACGGUACCUAAAGAAUAAGCACCGGCUAACUACGUG